rnacentral:lncRNA from 1 species
GCAGCCGGAAGGGACGCGCUUUAUUCCUAGCUGUCUUACAGCUCUCUUCGCCCGAGUAAGGGGGUUGCCCGACGACGAGAAAAGAAUUCGUGGCGGCGGCGGAGCAGCGGCCAUGGGAGACCCGGGGCCGGAGAUGAUAGGAUCCGUGCCGGCGGCCGGGCCCGCGGCGCGCGAGCCAGCGGCGGAGGAGAACGAAGAUGACAUUCAGUUCGUCGGCGUAAGUAGAGCCUUGGUGACCGCAGCGCGGACGCGGUGCCGCGUGGCGUGGGGUGCGGACGGGGACCAGGGCCGAGCGCGGGGCGCGCAGCGUCCUGCCCGAGGCCGUGGUUUGAAGCGGGCGACAUGAUCCCCU